UGGUCGUGUUGCUAAGACAAGACAGCACCCCGUAAAGGACGCUAGAAGCCAACAAACGUCUUAUUUCAUUAGUUAUAAUGUUAUGAAUAGAUAUCUGCUUUGCAAUCAAUUUACUGGAGUAUAGAAACCUAGCUAGAGAUACCUGGCCAAGCAACAGCUGCUCUCAAUAGAGGUGUCAUAAUACCCAUAAAACCUAGCCAUCAAAAGUGACCUUGUCCUAGAGAGAUUUACACGGUUAACAAAACGUCACGCCAGGCACGGAUAGGUGUAUGAAGGGAGGAUGUGGAGAGUGGUCCUGAAGAAAGCCCUGAGUCUGGUUAAGGAGCUGGAUGCCUUCCCCAAGGUCCCAGAGAGCUAUGUCGAGACCACAGCCACAGGGGGGGACAGUGUCCCUGAUAGCAUUUACUGGCAUGGCACUGGUGGCCUUCUUUGAGUUCUUUGUAUCGGGACACCUGGAUGAAGUAUGAAUACGAAGUGGAUAAAGAUUUUUCAAGUAAAUUCAGAAUAAACAUAGAUAUUACAGUUGCCACGAAAUGUCAAUAUGUGGGUGCAGACAUUCUGGACCUGGCAGAGACUAUAUGAUAACAUCAAAUGGCAUUCAGUAUGAGCCUGUGAGUAGAUAACCGAGCCUUCUAUUACAUACAAAUAGACUUUGGUGAUCCCAAACCCUGGGACUUUUUCUUCCCUGUGUAUUUUCUUCCAUCUGUAUAAAUGUUCAGGGGAUUUUUGAGCUGACUCUGCAGCAAAGACUGUGGCACAGGUAAGCAGUU